AGUCAAUAGAUACCCUGGUAGUCCACGCCGUAAACGACUGAAUACUAGGUGUAGGGGUUGUCAUGACCUCGUGUGCCGCGCUAACGCAUUAAGUAUUCCGCCUGGGGAGUACGAUCGCAAGAUUAAAACUCAAAGGAAUUGACGGGGGNCCCGGCACAAGCAGCGGAGCAUGUGGUUUAAUUCGAAGCAACGCGAAGAACCUUACCUAGACUUGACAUCUCCUGAAUUACUCUGUAAUGGAGGAAGCCCUUCGGGGCAGGAAGACAGGUGGUGCAUGGUUGUCGUCAGCUCGUGUCGUGAGAUGUUGGGUUAAGUCCCGCAACGAGCGCAACCCUUAUUGUUAGUUGCUACCAUUAAGUUGAGCACUCUAGCGAGACUG
rnacentral:rRNA from 1 species